rnacentral:rRNA from 1 species
AUGACUACUUUCACCUUAACAACAAAUAGCAAUCUAAUUCAAGGUGUCGUUCAAAAUGCAGGGUGUCCUAGCGCAUGUCGUCUCGGUGGAAUAGCAGGGGUGGCAGGGUCACCACAGCGGGGUGGACAACAAGAAAGGGUGAGGAGGUUGGCAGUGGGUGAGAAGGAGCAGCAAAGUCGGACGUGGCAGGAAGGAGCGCUGAGGCCAUGGUGGAGGAUAGGCCAGCGAUGGAUGCAAGGAGCUACGUGA